GAUGAACGCUAGCUACAGGCUUAACACAUGCAAGUCGAGGGACCGGCGCACGGGUGAGUAACACGUAUCCAACCUGCCCUUUACUCGGGGAUAGCCUUUCGAAAGAAAGAUUAAUACCCGAUAUCAAGGAUGGGGAUGCGUUCCAUUAGGUUGUUGGUGAGGUAACGUCUCACCAAGCCUUCGAUGGAUAGGGGUUCUGAGAGGAAUGGACCCCUCAUUGGAACUGAGACACAGUCCAAAUUCCUACGGGAGGAAGCAGUGAGGAAUAUUGGGCAAUGGGCGCUAGCCUGAAGCAGCCAAGUAGCGUGAAGGAGGAAGGCUUAUGGGUCGUAAACUUCUUUUAUAUAAGAAUAUGUAUUAUAUGAAUAAGGAUCGGCUAACUCCGUGACAGCAGCCGCGGUAAUUC
rnacentral:rRNA from 1 species